rnacentral:tRNA from 1 species
GGAGAGGUGGCUCAGAGGUUAAGAGCACUUGACUAUUCUUCCAGAGGUCCUGAGUUCAAUUCCCAGCAUCCACA